rnacentral:rRNA from 1 species
CCUACGGGAGGCAGCAGUGAGGAAUAUUGGACAAUGGGCGCAAGCCUGAUCCAGCCAUGCCGCGUGCAGGAAGAAGCAUCUAUGGUGUGUAAACUGCUUUUGUACAGGAAGAAACACUCCCUCGUGAGGGAGCUUGACGGUACUGUAAGAAUAAGGACCGGCUAACUCCGUGCCAGCAGCCGCGGUAAUACGGAGGGUCCGAGCGUUAUCCGGAAUCAUUGGGUUUAAAGGGUCCGUAGGCGGUUUAAUAAGUCAGUGGUGAAAUCUGGUCGCUCAACGAUCAAACGGCCAUUGAUACUGUUAGACUUGAAUUAUAAGGAAGUAACUAGAAUAUGUAGUGUAGCGGUGAAAUGCUUAGAUAUUACAUGGAAUACCAACUGCGAAGGCAGGUUACUACUUAUGGAUUGACGCUGAUGGACGAAAGCGUGGGGAGCGAACAGGAUUAGAUACCCUGGUAGUCCACGCCGUAAACGAUGGAUACUAGCUGUUCGGAGCAAUCUGAGUGGCUAAGCGAAAGUGAUAAGUAUCCCACCUGGGGAGUACGUUCGCAAGAAUGAAACUCAAAGGAAUUGACGG